UUGCUAUCUGCGAUAUGGAAGAUUCGAACCUGCCGCAGGUUCGGGUCUCACGUAGUGAGACAACGGAGCCGCUUGCGGCGAUGGCCCGAAGGGCGAGCAAAGCGAGUCAUCCUGCACGACCCACCA
rnacentral:sRNA from 1 species